CCUACGGGAGGCAGCAGUGAGGAAUAUUGGUCAAUGGACGCAAGUCUGAACCAGCCAUGCCGCGUGCAGGAAGACGGCUCUAUGAGUUGUAAACUGCUUUUGUACGAGGGUAAACGCAGAUACGCGUAUCUGUCUGAAAGUAUCGUACGAAUAAGGAUCGGCUAACUCCGUGCCAGCAGCCGCGGUAAUACGGAGGAUUCAAGCGUUAUCCGGAUUUAUUGGGUUUAAAGGGUGCGUAGGCGGUCGGAUAAGUUAGAGGUGAAAACCCCAGGCUCAACUUCGGAAUUGCCUCUGAUACUGUUCGGCUAGAGAGUAGUUGCGGUAGGCGGAAUGUAUGGUGUAGCGGUGAAAUGCUUAGAGAUCAUACAGAACACCGAUUGCGAAGGCAGCUUACCAAGCUACUUCUGACGUUGAGGCACGAAAGCGUGGGGAGCAAACAGGAUUAGAUACCCUAGUAGUC
rnacentral:rRNA from 1 species